rnacentral:lncRNA from 1 species
GGGAUCAAGAGUUAGCUCUAGUUUAUAAACCUUUGCAUUUUCAUUGCCUCCUCACUAUUGGCUUUGGAUAGAGCAUGGGAUUCUUAUUUUGCUUAGUAGCCACCAUGAACUUUAUAUGGACUACACGAGGCAAGUCCUUAAUUCCACAGUCAUCAAGUUCAUCAAGGAUUUGAUGCUUAGGAGGGAUUCUUUUACCAUCAUGAGGUGCACAGCUGGAAGAGAAAACAUCUAACGAGCACUUGUUCAUUAGGACCAGAAGUCCUGUUCUCUUCUAUGGCAGAAUGUUGGAGAAUGCUUCCUUGAGAACAUUCUGGAGAGAUGUGGAAUGUUUAGGUUUCCUUUGCAGUGAAUGCUUAAGUUUCCUUAUCUUGCCAAUUCUACAGUGCCUUCUGGAGAACUCGCUGGCCAGAGAAGAUAAUCUUGAAGUGAAGAUACAGGAUAAUCAGGGCUUUCCACCUACAGGACAGGCUUCAAAUCCUUUAGGGUCAAGAUCUGAUUUGCUAAUCCUCUGAAGUCAACUGAACUGAUGUAGAGAGUUCCUACCAGUUGGAUAGGAUACUGUAGACCAUGGCUUUUUAACUCACUUAGUGGAAAUUGCCAUCUUAUAGAGUUGUUGGAGGCAUUAGAAGUUACUUUCUAAACAAGGAAUCUCUUUAGUAACAGUUCCUCUGAUCGGAAGGCCACAACUUUACAAGGUGAGACACUUCUGGAAGCUGGAAAGUAAUGUUUUACAUGAAGUCAGUGCAGAAGAAAGAACAUUAUUUUUGGAGAAGUUUCAAGGCCAAAACCCAGCAUCACUACUCAUUGUCUAUGUGAAUCUAGGCAUGGUUCUUAACUUUGUUGACCUCUAUUCCCUAGUAAAUGAAGAGGGAUGAAAGAAAUUAUCCAUCAGUGGAUGAAUGGAUAAUGAAAAUGUGAAAUGGAAUACUAUUUGGCUUUUAAAAAGAAGAAAAUUCCAUCAUAUGCAACAACAUUAAUGAACUUGGGAGACAUUGUGCUGUUUAAAAUAAGCCAGGCACAGCAGGAGAAUUAUUGCAUGAUCUUACUUACAUGUGGAAUCUAAAACAAACACACUGAAACAGAGAGUAGAAUGAUAGUUACCAGAGGCUAGGGGUGAGGGAAAUGGGGAGAUAUAGGCCAAAGUGUACAAAGUUUCAGUUACACAGGAGAAAUAAAUUUUUUGAUAUUAAUUGCACAGCAUGGUGACUAUAGUUAAUAAUGUAUAAAUGGUAUAUAUCAAAAUUUCUAAUAGAGUAAUUUUUCCAGUGUUCUCACUGCAAAAAAUUGUAAGUAUUUCAGGUGGUAAAUGUUAGCUAGCUUGAUUUGCCUUUUACAUCUUUAUUUUUAAUGUAUAUUGAAAAAUUAUAGUUGUUUAUAUUCAUAAGACACAAAGCAUUUUGAUAUUUAUUUAAAAUGUGGAUUUAUUAAAUUAAACAUUAACAUACUUGUCACCUCAAAUAUUUAACAUAUUUUAUAAGAAAUUUACUUUAGAAAUUUUCUCUUUAGCAAUAUUGAAAUUAUAGUCCUCGAUUAUGAGCUAAAUUGUUGGCACUCAAUUAUUAACAUGCUUUGCUGUCAAUCUUAACAAAUUAAAC